UGAAGCAAACAGCUUUUUUUCUGCUAUGCUUUUCAUCCAUGAUGUUUCUUGUUUCUGACUCACCAAAGACCUAAAAGCAACGGGACCCCCAUGUACUGCCAUGUACUGAAAGUUCUACAAUGAUGAAGUUCCAAGACAUAAAGUUUCUUGACCAAAGUCACAUGAAUGCCAGGUGUCCAGAAUGGGAUAUGAAUCAGACCUUUGCUACUGGGGCCCAAUGUCCACUGUCUCCUAACCAAGGCACGGGUGGCACAUGCAGUGUAGAGGUGCUGGACGUAACAUGAGUCACGUCCCUGGUAAGACAGAAUCGAUGGGGCAAGAUUUCAUCAUGUGAUUCAGAACGGCAAUUUAAAAUUUAUGAAUACGCUUGGUUUUGAAAAUUUUCAUGAAUUUCUUUUCAAGUAGCUAUUGGCCACAGGUAACUAAGACCACGGAUGAGAAGAGACUACUGCGUGACACUCUGGGUUUCACUGGACCCUAGAACUACUGCUGACUGAAAGACCGUUGAAGACAAGUAAAGCAGAAAGGACCGUCAGUCUAGAAGGGUGCUGGCGAGAGUCUUGAGAAGCUCCCGGUGACCUGGCUUUGCCAUUCUCAGCUGUCGCCGGACUCAGUCUGAGGCCUUCCCGCUGACUGGGCUGCAGGAGCUUGAACUGUGCGUGAGAGAUCCCCUAGCAUCUCGCGUGUUUUUUUUUUUUUUUCUUUUCUCAUCUGGAUUUGGCGACAUCAUCUCCCUUCCCUAGGGGCCAUCCCCCACACCAGCCCUGCCCUCCGAAGACCAGUCCCCGCUGAAACAAAAGGAGAGCGCGCAUCUCCAAGGAGAGAGUGAGGAGACCCUGAUCAACUCCUCUUCUCUAGAAGGAUCUCCUGUGUGGCCCGCCACACUCUCCUCCCCCAGAUAUUCUUGACGAGAUAGCUGCUGUGUUUGUUUAAAAA